rnacentral:rRNA from 8 species
CGGAACAACUGAGGGAAACUUCAGCUAAUACCGGAUAAGCCCUUACGGGGAAAGAUUUAUCGCCGAAAGAUCGGCCCGCGUCUGAUUAGCUAGUUGGUGAGGUAAUGGCUCACCAAGGCGACGAUCAGUAGCUGGUCUGAGAGGAUGAUCAGCCACAUUGGGACUGAGACACGGCCCAAACUCCUACGGGAGGCAGCAGUGGGGAAUAUUGGACAAUGGGCGCAAGCCUGAUCCAGCCAUGCCGCGUGAGUGAUGAAGGCCCUAGGGUUGUAAAGCUCUUUUGUGCGGGAAGAUAAUGACGGUACCGCAAGAAUAAGCCCCGGCUAACUUCGUGCCAGCAGCCGCGGUAAUACGAAGGGGGCUAGCGUUGCUCGGAAUCACUGGGCGUAAAGGGUGCGUAGGCGGGUCUUUAAGUCAGGGGUGAAAUCCUGGAGCUCAACUCCAGAACUGCCUUUGAUACUGAAGAUCUUGAGUUCGGGAGAGGUGAGUGGAACUGCGAGUGUAGAGGUGAAAUUCGUAGAUAUUCGCAAGAACACCAGUGGCGAAGGCGGCUCACUGGCCCGAUACUGACGCUGAGGCACGAAAGCGUGGGGAGCAAACAGGAUUAGAUACCC